CGGGACUGGUGAGUAACGCGUGAGUAACCGGGCUAUAAGAGGGGAAUAACAGUUAGAAAUGACUGCUAAUACCGCAUAAGCUGAUAAAGUCGCAUGAUUUAGUCAGAAAAGGAGCAAUCCGCUUAUAGAUGGGCUCGCGUCCGAUUAGCUAGUUGGUGGGGUAGAAGCCUACCAAGGCGACGAUCGGUAGCCGGACUGAGAGGUUGAACGGCCACAUUGGGACUGAGAUACGGCCCAGACUCCUACGGGAGGCAGCAG
rnacentral:rRNA from 1 species